rnacentral:lncRNA from 1 species
GCGGGCCGGCGUGGAGGUGGGGGUCGCCCGGCCUUGGGGGUGGGCGCGCCGGCCCCCGGCCCUCCGCGUGCUCGCCUCCUGCCAGUCCUCGCCGCCACCACCUGGCGCAGGUCGGAAACCCCUCCUUGCCUUGGCUCCUCGGCGCCGGGGCGAGGGCAAAGUGAAUGGGAAGAUGGAGAUGGAUGUUGAGGGAGUUUCUCCGCGCCCGGAGCCCAUCCCCCGCUCCCAGGGGGCUGGCGGAGCCUGCCAGGCGCCGCCACAGCCGCCCCAGCCCCAGCCCCAGCCCCCGCCGCAGCCGCCGCAGCAACAGCAGCAGCAGCAGCAGCAGCAGCAGCAGCAGCAGCAGCAGCUGGCUCAGGAUGAAGUGCCCGGCGAGAGUGCUGGCGUGGAGGACAGCGACGAUCCCGAGGCGAGACCCAACAGCGAGAAAGGAGAGAGCAAGUAUUUCAGUGACAGGAUCCACUCAGGAGAGUCGGGGCAAGGCUGGCUGAGGUUCUCAAGGAGCUGAGUUUUGAGUUCAGGUGCCUGCGUGGCAGUGGAAUGAUGCUUCCUGACCUCUCAGACCUUUGAGACCUCUGGGCGGUCUUAGACUUCACCUGGAGCCUCCUGUCCAGCAUGCGACCAUCUAGGGGAGUUCCAGGGAAAGGUGGCAGGUAGAGUAUCCUUUCUGAGUUUUAUUCUCUCUCAUCCUCCCUUCUCUUCUUUCUGUGUGUCUGUGUUACUCUGUUGUGUCUCCUUCUCCUCAAGAUUCAUCGACCAGUGAUGCAGGGGUAUUUAUUUUAUGUUCUUGUCAACAGAGAUAUCAUGGACUGAAAAGUGAUGGGUACCCCAAUGAGCUCACUACAAGAUCUCAAAGAUUCCAAACCACUGGCUGCUCCAAAGCAUAAAGCCACCCUUCUGGAGAGUCGGCAGGAAGGAAGCCUGGCGGAGGUGAGGAAACAUCACUCUUCCCUCUGCCCUUGACUC